GAUGAACGCUGGCGGUGUGCCUAAUACAUGCAAGUCGAGCGAACAGACGAGGAGCUUGCUCCUCUGACGUUAGCGGCGGACGGGUGAGUAACACGUGGAUAACCUACCUAUAAGACUGGGAUAACUUCGGGAAACCGGAGCUAAUACCGGAUAAUAUAUUGAACCGCAUGGUUCAAUAGUGAAAGACGGUUUUGCUGUCACUUAUAGAUGGAUCCGCGCCGCAUUAGCUAGUUGGUAAGGUAACGGCUUACCACGGCAACGAUGCGUAGCCGACCUGAGAGCGUGAACGGCCACACUUGAGCUGAGACACGGUCCAGACUCCUACGGGAGGCAGCAGUAGGGAAUCUUCCGCAAUGGGCGAAAGCCUGACGGAGCAACGCCGCGUGAGUGAUGAAGGUCUUCGGAUCGUAAAACUCUGUUAUUAGGGAAGAACAAAUGUGUAAGUAACUAUGCACGUCUUGACGGUACCUAAUCAGAAAGCCACGGCUAACUACGUG
rnacentral:rRNA from 1 species